UUCAGAAGCGAGGUUGUAGCUGGCCUUCUCGGAGGCAUCGUGCACGCCCUGCCCGUCCCAUAUCAUACCUGUGAACUUUUUGGUAGGCGGGUUUGUGUCGGCCUCGAAAGGGGUCGACCGGCCCUCCGGCCGUCUUUAUAUACACACCAUACGAGUCUUUAGAAUGUUUGUGCGUCUCGACGCAUCUUAUAUAUAACUUUCAGCGACGGAUCUCUUGGCUCUCGCAUCGAUGAAGAACGCAGCGAAACGCGAUAAGUAAUGUGAAUUGCAGAAUUCAGUGAAUCAUCGAAUCUUUGAACGCACCUUGCGCUCCUCGGUAUUCCGAGGAGCAUGCCUGUUUGAGUGUCAUGAAAUUAUCAACCCCUCCCCCUUCAUCGGCGGUGGGGCUUGGACUUGGAGGCUUUGCGGGCUUUUAACGAGUCGGCUCCUCUCAAAUGCAUUAGCUCGAACCCCUGCGGAUCGGCCGUCGGUGUGAUAUAAUGUCUACGUCGUGGUCGUGAGCGUCGGAUCGGCUUCUAAUGGUCCCCUUUCGGAGGCGGAAUUUGAACUUGUGACCUCAAAUCAGGUAGGACUACCCGCUG
rnacentral:rRNA from 1 species